ACCGCAGCGCCUCCUCGUCGUCCUCCUCCCGCACCGACCGCCCGAACGCGUCGCUCCGCCCGGACGCGCCCCGCCACGACGACGCCGUCCGCCGCAUGCUCCCGCCGCCCGCCGCCGUGCUCCCCAUCCUCAUCAUCUCCAUGUCCUGAGCAUGCAUAGUUUGACCUGCCCGCGCCGCGCGCCUGAGCGGCUUGACCCGUUCAGUUUAGGGCGCCUCUGUGGGAUGGGACUCGGACCGGCCGGCCGGGGCAUCGCAUCGGGGUCAUCGCGGCCGUCCAUCGCCCGAUGGAUGAUACACGUGGCGUGUCGGCGAGGCUUCCGUACGGGGAGGGCUGGCAUAAGUCAGCUGUGCAGGUAAACGGAUGAUGGCUGCGUGUUCGGGCUCUGGAUUUUCCAUAUUUCCACGGGUUUUCCGGACAUGCAUGCAUUAUGAUAGAAUGAGAUGCAUGUAACCGUAUGUACCAUGGAAAGAAAAUGUGCGUUUAUGACGACAAAAUGGCAUGCACGAACAAAAUGGAAACCCAAGAAAAUGUCGAGAAGGCUAUUCCCUCCGAUCCAUAUUAGUUGUCGAAAUAUUAUAUGUAUCUGUACAUUUUUUUAUUCAUACAUACAUCCAUAUGUGGGCAAAGUUGAGACAAUUAAUAUGGAUCGGAAGGAGUAGCAAAAUUGGGAUGAGAUGAGAUUUAACCGUAUAUACCACAGAAAGAAAAUGGCGUGCAUUACAAUGACAUGCACGAGCAAAA